AGCAGCCGCGGUAAUUCCAGCUCCAAUAGCGUAUAUUAAAGUUGUUGCAGUUAAAAAGACUCGUAGUUGAAUUUUGGGUCUGGCCGGGCGGUCCGCCCUCUGGGUGAGCACUGUUCCGACGCCGGGCCUAUCCUUCUGGUGAGUCGGCAUGUCCUUUGUUGGGUGUGUCGGGGAACCAGGACCAUUACCUUGAAAAAAAUUUAGAGUGUUCAAAGACAGGCGUAUGCUCGGAUACAUUAGCAUGGAAUAAUGAAAUAGGACGCGUGGUGCUAUUUUGUUGGUUUCUAGAACCGCCGUAAUGAUUAAUAGGGAUAGUUGGGAGCAUUAGUAUUCAAUUGUCAGAGGCGAAAUUCUUGGAUUUUAUUGAAGACUAAACUUCUGCGAAAGCAUUUGCCAAGGAUGUUUUCAUUAAUCAAGAACGAAAGUUAGGGGAUCGAAGACGAUACAGAUACCGUCGUAGUCUUAACCAUAAACUAUGCCGACUAGGAAUCGGGCGAUGUUAUUCUCAUUGACUUC
rnacentral:rRNA from 1 species